rnacentral:lncRNA from 1 species
UAGCCUAAAAAAGAGAAUUAGAUCCAGAAAGUGCACUUUUCUAAGGUUAGCUCCUUCUUCUAAGGAACUCGGAGCACUUCAAGGGUUAAUUAAUUCAUCUCACAACAAUCCAGACUGAUGUGGCUACAACAGCACCACGAUCGGUAUUUCCAGGAUGUUGAAAAAGACGUUUGACAACAGAAGGAUCGUUGCUGAGAAAUUUAGGUUAUGUGCUGGUCAGUGAUAAGCGGUAUCAGAAAAAGGAUUCUGUGAUCAGCUCAGUUCAUACUAAAGUGAAAGGAGUGGCUCAGGUGGACUCAAGAAUCUGGGACA